UACCGCAUAUGUUAUUUAUUUGCAAUGAUAAAUAAUGAAAGGAGCAUUUGCUUCGCUAAUUGAUGGGGAUGCGGCGCAUUAACUAGUUGGUAAGGUAAUGGCUUACCAAGGUAACGAUGCGUAGCCGAUCUGAGAGGAUGAACGGCCACAUUGGGACUGAGACACGGCCCAAACUUCUACGGAAGGCAGCAGUAGGGAAUUUUUCACAAUGGGCGAAAGCCUGAUGGAGCAAUGCCGCGUGACUGAUGAAGGUCUUCGGAUUGUAAAGGUCUGUUGUAAGGGAAGAAGUGCUAGAAUAGGAAAUGAUUUUAGUAUCGACCAUACCUUACCAGAAAGCCACGGCUAACUAUGUGCCAGCAGCCGCGGUAAUACAUAGGUGGC
rnacentral:rRNA from 1 species